UAUAUAUGGUUUCUUUAUUUAUGACAAUGCUCUGUCCUGAUAAAGCCACUAAAGUUGAAAUACUAUAUUGGAAAUGCAUUAAAUGUACCUAACAGACUAGCUUAGCAACAGAAUGCAGCAGAGCUUUAGAUGUUGGUCCUUUGUGACUGCAGUGUGAUUCAAUGACACUGCCCACAUCACAAGAGAAGAGUGUCAAAUAUUGCUAGCCUGUUGAGGGGAAUCAAAGUUCAUAAUCUGAGGAACAAUUACUACUGAAUGCAUACUACUCUUUCAUCAUCCUAAAACUGAAGAACAAGAAGGCAAACUUUCCAUCAAGAACUAUGCAGAGUAAGGCAACAGGACAAGACCACUGAGAAUGUUGACCAAGCUAACUAAGGCCUAUCGAUUUAUCUUCAAGGGUGAGGCAGAGGUUUAAUCAAGAAAAAAAAUGUUUUGUUUCAAAUGACUCCAGCUCAGAACUCAAGCUGUACCACAUAAUUAAAGCACUGUGUAUACCAAGCUAACUGGCCUACAAACUUCCAGAGACUCUUCUGUCUUCUCCAGCUCUCACGGGGCCAUACAAGCACUUGGAUUACAGAUACACACUACUAUACCCAGCUUUUGUGUAGGUCCAAAGGAUUCAAACUCAGGUCUUCACACUACAUGGCAAGUACUCUAUCCCAAAGAGCCAUCUUUUCAACCCAGGUAAAUGAAUUCUUGUAGUACUGUGUGUUGUGAUGGGUGAGAUAAAUGCAAGCUAUUCAACAGCAACAAGGAUUACAAGGAGUUUACACUCUGCUUGAGAAGGCAAAAACACAUAAGACAAUGCUAAGCACCCAAUGACUUAGUUUGUUUUCCAGGUACACUACAUUAAUUCAUA